rnacentral:tRNA from 3 species
GGCAAGGUGGGAGAGCGGUUAAUCCGUAAGACUAGAAAUCUUAUCCCUUCGGGGUCGUCAGUUCGAAUCUGGCCCUUGUCG